rnacentral:rRNA from 1 species
UACGAAGGUGGCAAGCGUUGUUCGGAUUCACUGGGCGUAAAGGGCUCGUAGGUGGCCAACUAAGUCGGACGUGAAAUCCCUCAGCUUAACUGGGGAACUGCGUCCGAUACUGGAUGGCUUGAGUUUGGGAGAGGGAUGCGGAAUUCCAGGUGUAGCGGUGAAAUGCGUAGAUAUCUGGAGGAACACCGGUGGCGAAGGCGGCAUCCUGGACCAACACUGACACUGAGGAGCGAAAGCCAGGGGAGCAAACGGG